GGAGGAAGGGUGGUGACAGCACUAAUGAAUUCUUGCUAUGUUCUGGUCAUUGUCUCAUCCUAAUAACAGCUCCCUGGAAAAGGUACUAUUAAUCCCUAAAGAAACUAAAAUUCAGAGAGAUUAAAUGACUUUCCCAAAAUCACAAAACCAAUAUGCAAUAGAGCCAUAAAUCCAAUUCAGGCCUGUCUCAUAUCACAAUUAUUUUCUAUCUGCUACACCAAGUGGCAUCCUUGAGUUUUGCAAGAUGCCCUCAGUGCCAAGGCAUGAGCCCUUACCAGGGAAACUUUCUUUCUUUCUUUCUCUCUUUCUUUCUUUUUUUGAUGGAGUCUCACUCUGUAGCCCAAGGUGGAGUGCAGUGGUGCAGUCUUGGCUCACUGCAACCUCUGCCUCCCAGGCUCAAGUAAUUCUCCUGCCUCAGCCUCCAGAGCAGCUGGAAUUACAGUCAUGUGCCACCAUACCUGGUGAGUUUUUUGCAUUUUAGUAAAGAUGGGGUUUCACCAUGUUGCCCAGGGCAGUCUCGAACUCCUGAGCUCAGGCGAUCCACCUGCCUCGGCCUCCCAAAGUGCUGAGAUUCAGAGAAAUUUUCAUGGAGAGGGGACAGAUGGAGUCAAUUCUUGUGGGGUGAACAUGAGUACCACAGGUAGAUUGAGGUUGGGAAAGAUUUUCCAGACAAUUGGAAGAGCAUGUGAAAGACACAGAUUUUGAGAAAUGUCAAGUCUAGGGAACUGCAAGCCUUUUGGCACAAGAAAGCCACUGUGGACUAUAGAGGCAGGAUGCCUAGAUUCAAAUCCCAACUGCUACACUUCUAAGCUUUGUAAUUUUGGCAAGAUUUACCCUCUAUUUUCUUAUCUAUAAAAUAUAGAUUAUAUAUAUAUAGAUAUAGAUAUAUAGAUAGAUAAUAAUUGUACCUGCCUAAUAAAGUUGUCAAAGAUUAAAUGUUAUAUGUGAAGUAUUUUGUACAGUGAUAGGAACCCAGGAAAGGCCCUAUGAAUAUUAUAUAUUAUUACUAUUAUAAAGUAGCUGGAAUACAAUUCUCAAAGGAGAUAGUGGCAGGAGAUAAGUUUGAAUUGAAAGAUUGAGGCCAGAACAUAAAGUGCCUCCUAUAUUAUAUUUUAUAUAAUUGGAACAUCAUUGAAAGAUUUAAGUAUUAUUUAUGUGUGUAUGUGUGUUUUAUAUAAUUAAUUCUAGUUCAUCAUUUUAAAAUAUCUUUCUGAUGUCACUGUGAACAACAGAUGAGAAGAAGUGAAUCCUGAGUUAAGGAGACCAGCUCUCUGAUUACUGCAAUAACCCAAGGAGGGUACCAUAAGGAUUUCAACUGGAACUGGUUGGCGGAUGAUUUGAACUGGAGAUGAACUUUAUUAUCCAGGAUGCUGAGAGUAUAACAUGCAUGACAGAACUUUUAGAGCACAGUGAUGUAACAUGUCAAGCAGAAAUAGGGAGCAUGUUUACAGCCAUUCUAUGAAAAAUUGUUCAGAAUGUGCAGACUAGCACAGAAGCUGGGCUAAUUGAACAAGUAUUGCUGAAAAUGAGUGCUGUAGAUGACAUGAUAGCAGGUAUGGGGUUGUCUGUCAGGAAAGUAUAACUUAAAUGUUUAUAAAGUUUCACAUACUUCUCUUUAUAUUCUGUAGGUAAUGUAGAUUUGUUGACACUGCUUUGAUUUAAAAUAAAUGGAAAUGUAUGGAAAUUUUACUUUUUAUAUUAAUGGAAAACCUGAAAAGUGAAAGAAGAAAAACAAUUACUAUAGUAGACAAACAUAAUUACUAAAGUUGUUUUCUAAAUUUUAGAAAAUCUUAGUACCACGGAGUGCUAUGAAAUCUAUCAGAAAAAUAAACAGUAUAUUUUUAUGUAGUAUUUCA